rnacentral:rRNA from 1 species
GGAGCGCGACGCUCUCCCCAAGGACGAAGCCAUGCAUGCCCGCUCACCCGGGACGCGGCGGACGGUUCAGGACGACGGUUGCACCCCCCGCGGCGGUCCCUGCUAGCCGGACACCGCUGGCAACCCGGCGCCAAGACGUGCGCGCAAGGGCGGGCGCCCGCGGG